rnacentral:rRNA from 1 species
GAUGAACGCUGGCGGCGUGCCUAAUACAUGCAAGUCGAGCGAAGCGGGGACGGGUGAGUAACACGUGGAUAACCUCCUAUAAGACUGGGAUAACUUCGGGAAACCGGAGCUAAACCGGAUCCUUAUAGAUGGAUCCGCGCUGCAUUAGCUAGUUGGUAAGGUAACGGCUUACCAAGGCAACGAUGCAUAGCCGACCUGAGAGGGUGAAUGGAAACUCUGGAACUGAGCCGCGGUCCAGAAUCCUACGCGAGGCAGCAGUAGGGAAUCUUAGGCAAUGGGCGAAAGCCUGACGGAGAAACGGUGCGGAAGUGAAGAGGGUCUUCGGAUAGUAAAACUCUGUUAUUAGGGAAGCGGUAACGAUUCAGAAAGCCGCGGAUAACUACGUGCCAGCAGCCGCGGUAAUAC